UUUGGCCUCGGAUCAGGCGGGGAUACCCGCUGAACUUAAGCAUAUCAAUAAGCGGAGGAAAAGAAACCAACCGGGAUUGCCCCAGUAACGGCGAGUGAAGCGGCAACAGCUCAAAUUUGAAAUCUGGGGUCCUUUGGGCCUCCGAGUUGUAGUUUGCAGAGGGAGCCUCGGAGGGCGUGCCGGCCCAAGUGCCUUGGAACAGGAUACCGCAGAGGGUGAGAGUCCCGUAUCCGGCCGGUGGCGCGCUCCGUGUGAGGCCUCUUCGACGAGUCGAGUUGUUUGGGAAUGCAGCUCCAAGCGGGUGGUAAAUUCCAUCUAAAGCUAAAUACUGGCCAGAGACCGAUAGCGAACAAGUAGAGUGAUCGAAAGAUGAAAAGCACUUUGAAAAGAGAGUCAAACAGUACGUGAAAUUGUUGAAAGGGAAGCGCAUGGGGGCAGACUUGGCCGCGGGGUUCAGGGUGCGUUCUCGCGCCUGCACUUCCCCGCGGACAGGCCAGCAUCGGUUCUGGGGGCCGGACAAAGGGGCCGGGAAGGUAGCCGCCUUCGGGCGGUGUUAUAGCCCGGCGCGCAAUGCGGCCACCUGGGACCGAGGACCGCGCUUCGGCAAGGAUGCUGGCGUAAUGGCCUCAUGCGGCCCGUCUUGAAACACGGACC
rnacentral:rRNA from 2 species